rnacentral:rRNA from 1 species
UACGGAGGGUGCAAGCGUUAUCCGGAUUUACUGGGUUUAAAGGGCGCGUAGGUGGCGCGGGAAGUCAACGGUGAAAGUUCGGGGCUCAACCCUGAAUCGGCCGUCGAUACUCCCGGGCUCGAGCACUGUAGAGGCAGAUGGAAUUCCUGGUGUAGCGGUGGAAUGCGCAGAUAUCAGGAGGAACACCAAUGGCGAAGGCAGAUCUCUGGGCCGUAACUGACGCUGAGGAGCGAAAGCAUGGGGAGCGAACAGG